rnacentral:rRNA from 1 species
GUUGGGAAUCUUGCACAAUGGGGGAAACCCUGAUGCAGCGACGCCGCGUGGAGGACGAAGGGUCUAGGCCUGUAAACUCCUUUUAUCGGGAAAGACUUAGGACGGUACCCGAUGAAUAAGGACCGGCUAACUACGUGCCAGCAGCCGCGGUGAGACGUAGGGUCCAAGCGUUGUCCGGAUUUACUGGGCGUAAAGAGCGCGUAGGCGGCUCGUUAAGUGUGAAGUGAAAUCUCUAGGGCUCAACCCAGAAAUUGCUUUACAUACUGGCGAGCUAGAGGGAUGCAGAGGUUUGUGGAAUUCCUGGUGUAGCGGUGAAAUGCGUAGAUAUCAGGAGGAACACCCAUGGCGAAGGCAGCAAACUGGGCAUCAUCUGACGCUGAGGCGCGAAAGCGUGGGUAGCAAACAGGAUUAGAUACCCGGGUAGUCC